UCCCCACUUUUGCCCUCACCACUAGUUCCCGGCCCUAACUCCCAAAGCCGCUAAAGCCCACUUACCACAUUAAACUUCUUCUUCCUCUCAUGAAUGUAUCUUCUUCCUCCCAUGAAAGAUAAAGAGCUUCGGAUUGGUCACGAAGGUAUUUUCUUGCAUGGAAAUGGAGACAACGGGACGCCACACACUCGCUUUAGAUCCGUAAGCGCCGAGGCAUUUAAGCCGGCGAGACGGAGAGCACCCAUCGCACACCGUGCAACAACCCAACAAGCUCAAAGAUGGCGAUCCACAAGCCUGUAGUCUUGCUCGUGCUUCUCGCGUUCCUCACACCUUCGGCCUCAACGCGUCUUCUGCGCGAGGAGCUCUGCUCGUGCGUCCACCGCCGCCGCCUUCAGCGGCCGGCGCACUCCCUCCACCGGUCGCGGUGGAGCAGCGAUCCACCCCCAGGCGCCGCUCUUCCUCCUCCAGCGGGUGGAGCGCUCCCUCCACCCGUCGCCCUGGAGCUGUGACCGAUCCCAGCCGCCGGUGAGCUUGUUCCAUCACCACCUCCUCCUCCAGCCGCUGGUGAGCUAGUUCCACCACCUCCUCCUACAACCGUCGGUUAGCUCGUUCCACCUCCUCCAGCAGCCGGGCAGCUCAUUCCACCUCCUCCAGCGGCCGGAUCCGGCGUCUACUUGCCCCAGCUGUCCUGCCAGGAGGCUUCUUCUCCACUUAUCGCGUCUGGAAGAUCAUUGGCAUCGUUCUUGGCGGUAUCUUGGCACUCCUGGUUUGUCUCUGGAUACUCUUCAAAUACAAGGUGCACAAAUGCUGGCAGCGUGGGGACGAUGAGGGGACGGCCCGCCACCAGGCGCGCCCGGACAUGAUCGGGGACAUUUUGCCCGCAGUCGUGCGUGGCAUCAUCUUUUUGUUCAACCUACUCUUCGGCUUCUGUUGCUGAUCGGGUGCACACACAAUGUUCGUCUGAAGACCUAUGAGUCUGCUUAGGCCAAGAACUUCUUCCUCACAGGAGGCGGCGCUGCUCGACGCGCACCGCGACUGCCCCGAGGAGCUGCGGGAGGCGGUGGCGGGGCUCUGCUACGCGGCCGCCCGGUGCGGGGACCUCCCCAAGCUGCAGGAGGCCCGCGCUCGAGAUAGUGGACCUGGCGGCUAGGGUUGGGAACCUCUCGUGUCGCCCGUGAGGGGGUGACGCAAGAGUCGGGAGAGUCGAGAUUUAUAGAUAGCGACAAUGAUAAUUUUCCUCCUCUUCUUUUAUUUGACAUAAGACUAGAAGAAAAAGGAGGGCUUUCCCAUAUCGAACAUGGCGAGGCGGGCGGAAUAUAUCACAUCAAAUAUCGAUAUGCAUGAACCACGGGUAGUCACAGUAUCAUCUCAAUAAAGGUAUAGGAGUGAAAAUUAUACAAGGAACAUAACAAAUGAAAAUAAUAAUCGUUAUGCUUUCUUUUUCUACAAGGAACAUAACAAAGUGAAAUGAUAAAACGUCAUGCAUAUCCAAUAAAAGGAAAUACUGCAAGUAGCAUCAUGAAUAAAACGAAAGCCUAUACAUAAUAAAGAGUGGAUUUAAUUAACAUCGUUACCCGUGUCAUCGAUUUUCGGGACAACACGAGUCAGUGCCUUUGUCGCCUUCAUUUUAUGAUAUUUUCUUUGCCAUGCGCCCAUCAACUAUAACCCUCCAAUAUAUACAUCACAAUAAACAACAGAUGAAUGACGUUGGACUGAUAGUUCCAAUACCAACAAUGGCAACAUGAGUGAAAUCCUCC